rnacentral:rRNA from 1 species
GAUGAACGCUAGCUACAGGCUUAACACAUGCAAGUCGAGGGGUAGCACGGAGGAAGCUUGCUUCCUUGGGUGACGACCGGCGCACGGGUGAGUAACGCGUAUCCUACCUACCCAUUACUCGGGCACAGCCGCUCGAAAGAGUGAUUGAUUCCCGAUAUGUCAUUGGAGUAGAUUCAAUGAUGAAAGAUUCAUCGGUAAUGGAUGGGGAUGCGUAAGAUUAGGUAGUAGGCGGGGUAACGGCCCACCUAGCCGACGAUCUUUAGGGGUUCUGAGAGGAAGGUCCCCCACACUGGUACUGAGACACGGACCAGACUCCUACGGGAGGCAGCAGUGAGGAAUAUUGGUCAAUGGGCGGAAGCCUGAACCAGCCAAGUAGCGUGAAGGAUUACAGCCCUACGGGUUUUAAACUUCUUUUAUGAGGGAAUAAAACCUCCCACGUGUGGGAGCUUGUAUGUACCUUAUGAAUAAGCAUCGGCUAACUCCGUG